rnacentral:lncRNA from 1 species
UCAAGGUCUGCCCAUAUUCCUUGGUAGGUUUUUGCUCUCUGUGAAAACAUAGGAUAUGCAUGGCACAUGAUCUCCUAUAUUUCUUUGUCUGUUAAUAGUGAAGGAUGAUAGUAUAAUUGCCGAAGUUUGUUCCUGCAUGCAAGUGAGAAUGUGAAAGCCAAGAUAAUAUAUUGAACUAUUAUUGUUUGUUUACGCUUUUUUAUAUUAUGCUAAACACUUUAAAUGAAAGUGAUUAUGAUUAUUGAAAUAUGCAAUUGUUAUGGCAAUUAACGUUCCUAGCUGACUCAGUUAUGUUUUGUUUACUUACACAUCGUUAUCCACUCUUACUAGCAUCUGUAGGAAAUGUUUGAAUUCUCCAGGAUAAUCGUGUUCCUCUGGAUGCAGCUUCUCGACCAAGCGAUAUAGGGAUUCUGGGUACAGAGUUUGAUACUCUUCAUGGUUCAAUGUGUACCUUCCUCCGGCAUUUACAACUAUAUUGUCAACGGUUAGUUUGCCUAUUAAGUUUCCAUUUCUCAUCAUGUUGACGCAGUUC